UACGUAGGGAGCAAGCGUUGUCCGGAAUCAUUGGGCGUAAAGCGCGCGUAGGUGGCCUCAUAAGUCCGCUGUGAAAGUCAAAGGCUCAACCUUUGAAAGCCGGUGGAUACUGUGAGGCUAGAGUACGGAAGAGGCGAGUGGAAUUCCUGGUGUAGCGGUGGAAUUAGCAGAUAUCAGGAGGAACACCAAUAGCGAAGGCAGCUCGCUGGGACGUUACUGACACUGAGGCGCGAAAGCGUGGGGAGCGAACAGG
rnacentral:rRNA from 1 species